GUCGAGCCGGCCAGAACAUCGCUCCAGUGAUGUUUAUAAUCAGAAACUCGUGACAAUGCCGUGAACCAGGCCAUAAGUAUACACAGAAGUUGCAGGAAGUGUUUCAACAGCUUGCUACCCUUCCAUGUCAUCCUUAAUUAGAAAAGCUGGAAAGGGGCAUCGACGGAAACGUCUCGAAAGAGAUUAUUGGGAAUAUUUCAGGAUAAACAACGUUGUAUGGUUAUUCGCUGCAAAUAAAGAGAGUGAAGAGGAUAGACGAUUGGAUGCUGCAUAAACGACGGACAGCAGUUGAAACGAGCGGUGACAGUAGCGUC